UGAUGCGUCCACAAAGAUGAAGGUCUCAGUAGCUAAUGCACCUGAGGGGUCAAUGGAUAAUCAUGGGAGUCCUUCCAUAACGCCAGAUAGAGAUGAGGAUAAGCUGAUUCAAAUUAGUCUGGCUCAAAACACAAACAUGCAAGAAGAAGCUAUUGACUGCUUGUAGUUGCAAAAAUGGUAGAGCUUGGGUGAGUGAGAAAUUAUACAAGUGGUGCACAGUAGUCGCAUUUCCGAGCUUCAAUUUGAUUAUCUUCAUGGUGAACUAAUUCUGUUGCAUAAAGAGGAGCAUAAACUUUCACGACUUCAUGUACAAAAGAGAAACAAAAUCAUGCUUUCUAAAUUGAGAUGAGGAGACAGAGUUUAGGUCAGUAACUUAGGAUUUCUUUUUCCAAAUCACUGAGGGAUAUCUGCAGUAAGGUAUGCUAUAUACUUUUGGAAUUUGCCUAUGCUUUUGACUUCACUGCAGGAUAUUUGCUGUUUAAUUUUGCAUAUUUAUACUUUGUUAUCUUGAAUUCCAUUUACAAUUUCUCACAGAAACUAUUACCUGCUUUUGUGAUCAAUUUUAAGAGCAGAGACAAAAUAGUUUACUGAAAGAACAUGUUUAACUCCGUGUGUGGCAUAUUAUACAUCUCAUGAGGGAUUCAGGUGUAAGGUAAAGUAACACGUAUAAAAAAUGCAUCUCCGUUACGUUUAACUAAAAGUCUAAAAGUAUAAUGUCACCUAUCUGGACUGACAUUCUAGAUCAAAGUAUGAUUGUAUGUUCAGGUAACGUCCAAUCUAUGGACUCCCAACUUGACAUCUUUACUCAGUUCUGAAUUCUUUGACUUUCUUAUGAAUUCAACAGUAACAUUGCUUACCAAGUUUUCCUUAAGGGGUUGUUUGAUUCAAAUUCUAAAAAUAUAGGAUAAUGAAUCUGCAUAAAAAAACAAAGGCCUAGCUUUAUAUAAAUAUCUUGGAAUUUCUAAUUUGGUGUUUGGU